rnacentral:rRNA from 1 species
CUACGUAGGGGGCGAGCGUUGUCCGGAAUGAUUGGGCGUAAAGGGCGCGUAGGCGGCGCGGUAAGUCUGGAGUGAAAGUCCUGCUCUCAAGGUGGGAAUUGCUUUGGAUACUGCCGCGCUUGAGUGCAGGAGAGGUUAUCGGAAUUCCCGGUGUAGCGGUGAAAUGCGUAGAGAUCGGGAGGAACACCAGUGGCGAAGGCGGGUAACUGGACUGCAACUGACGCUGAGGCGCGAAAGUGUGGGGAGCAAACAGGAUUAGAUACCCUGGUAGUCCACACUGUAAACGAUGAAUGCUAGGUGUAAGAGGUAUCGACCCCUUUUGUGCCGGAGUCAACACAAUAAGCAUUCCGCCUGGGGAGUACGGCCGCAAGGUUGAAACUCAAAGGAAUUGACGGGG